rnacentral:lncRNA from 1 species
CAAAAUGUGGAAAAAGUCAAGGGGUCUGAAUACUUUCUGAAUUCACUGUAGUUAAUUACCAUUCUUGGAAGGGAAACAAUGACAUAUUAUAUUGUAAUUAGUGUUAGGACUGAAAGCAUACAGGGGAAGCUAGGUUACUUUUAAAUGAUUAAGUCCAUCUCAAUGUGACUUGGAUUUGAAAGGAAUAGCACAGAAAAUGCUGAAAGAAAAUGAUUGGAGGCAACUUUGGCUCAUGUUUACACCAGUUGGAGGACGUUCUCCAGAAGUUGUCAUAAUUACUGUGUAAGUCUAUGGAAUUGGUUGAGAACCAUGAGCCUCCUAGGUUUUCGUAUUGAAGUCAAUGAACCCAGUGGAGGUCGGAAGCUAGCUGUCCUCCGGCUACACCAUGGUGCUACCCUACAGAGUACCGCUGAGGCUACUAUAGACCAUCCUUGCAAAACAGUGUGUUUUAAUCAGUUAUUUGGUGAUAUUAAUAUAUUUUGUAUAGUUUUAUCUAAAGUACUUUUAUGAAAUUUACUGAGGAGGAUGGUCCUCCUCUUCCUCCUCUGAAGAGCCUCCACUAAUUUGACUCACAUUCACUCCUUGAGGGAGACUUCUCCUUGUCCAAGAAUCUCCCAGAAUUCACCGCACGGCCCAUUGACGACGUAAGGGCAGCAUACACAAUGGCCGUUAAUGCGAAUCGAGUGGAGUUUCCCCAUCUCCCCAUUUCUUAAAGUGUUUCUAAUUAAAUACAUAUCAUUUGGUUGGUAUUUAUAUUUGUCCUGUUGUACCAGUGUGUAUUAUACACAUGCUUUCUGCAUAACCCAACUCCUCCUGAGACACCCUUGGAGAGUUGGGUCACAGACAGGGUCAGCCAUUGUCAACAGCAAACCCCGUGUGGCUCAGUUGGUAGAGCAUGGUGUUUGCAAUGCUGGGGUUGUGGGUUCAAUUCCCACGGGGGACCAGUACGGAGAAAGAAACAUUUAUGAAAUGUAUGCAUUCACUACUGUAAGUCGCUCUAGAUAAGAGCAUCAGCUAAAAUGUAAAUUAAGGGGAGGUUACAUUACAUUGUCAUUUUAACGGACCAUGCCUCAGGACUACCUGGUAUGAUGACUCCUUGCUGUCCCCAGUCCACCUGGCCGUGCUGCUGCUCCAGCUUCAACUGUUCUGCCUGCGGCUAUGGAACCCUGACCUGUUCACCGGACGUGCUUGUUGCACCCUCGACAACUACUAUGAUUAUUAUUAUUUGACCAUGCUGGUCAUUUAUGAACAUUUUAACAUCUUGACCAUGUUCUGUUAUAAUAUCCACCCUGCACAGCCAGAAGAGGACUGGCCACCCCUCAUAGCCUGGUUCCUCUCUAGGUUUCUUCCUAGGUUUUUGGCCUUUCUAGGGAGUUUUUCCUAGGGAGUUUUUCCUAGCCACCGUGCUUCUUUCACAUGCUUUGCUUGCUGUUUGGGGUUUUAGGCUGGGUUUCUGUACAGCACUUUGAGAUAUCAGCUGAUGUACGAAGGGCUAUAUAAAAAAAUAAAUUUGAUUUUUGAUUUGAUUUUGAACGGACACUCUUAUCCAGAGCAAAUUACAGGAGCAACUAGGGUUACACCCCUUGCUCAAGGGCACAUCGACAGAUUUCUUUUCACCCUAGUCGGUUUGGGGAUUUCGUUUUAUGGACCAACACUCUAAACCGCUAGGCUACCUGCUGCCCCAGUAUCAAGAAUCUUGGGAAUACAUCGUUUCCAUAAUUCCUGUGAAUGUAACAAAUUGUCACAUGCUGGAAAAACACUGUUUGGCCCGCAAUAGCAGAUCUUGUAGCAGGUGACGCAAAUGAUCCUCUACAGCAGAUAACAACAUUAAUUUUUUAAAAGUAGUUACGUUUCCGUUUGUAUCACAUCCAGUUUCCCUUAGGAAACGUUUUCAGGACAUUUACUUCCUGCUUGUCUUGUCUGUCUCCGGUCCUCUCUCAGCCUGUUAACCUAACUGCUUGUCUUGUCUGUCUCCAGUCCUCUCUCAUCCUGUCUACCUAACUGCUUGUCUUGUCUGUCUCCAGUCCUCUCUCAUCCUGUCUACCUAACUGCUUGUCUUGUCUGUCUCCAGUCCUCUCUCAUCCUGUCUUACCUAACUGCUUGUCUUGUCUGUCUCCAGUCCUCUCUCAGCCUGUCUUACCUAACUGCUUGUCUUGUCUGUCUCCGGUCCUCUCUCAUCCUGUCUACCUAACUGCUUGGAGCUGAGCAAACAGCAGAGUCGACAUAAUCAACAGCAUCCCCUGAACUAGCCACCGCAAUGUACAGCCUCAUGGGAGAUGGAUGGAUUUCCUGCCUCUGCAGCAGCAUACAGGAGAUAUAUGGAUUUCCUGCCUCUGGAGCAGCAUACAGGAGACAGAUGGAUUUCCUGCCUCUGGAGCAGCAUUUAGCCUCACAGGAGAGAUUUCCUGCAGCGUUCACACAAAUCCCCUAGAUGUUUUCAGUAGCCUAUAUCAGUAACGGAUUCCAUGUUUUGGGGCUCCCGAGUGGCGCAGCAGGUCUAAGGCACUGCAUCUCAGUGCUAGAGGCAGUCACUACAGACCCUGGUUCGAUUCCAGGCUGUAUCACAACCGGGCCGUGAUUGGGAGUCCCAUAGGGCGGUGCACAAUUGUCCCAGCGUCGUUAAGGUUUGGCCUGGGUAGGUCGGCCGGUCAUUGUAAAUAAGAAUUUGUUAUUUUAACUGACUUGCCUAGUUAAAUAAAAAAAUGGAAUAAAAAACAUCCACAA